AUGUAAUGAUUUGGGUAAUUAUCUGCACAGUCUUGAUUCGCUGCUUGAGAUGUGCUUUUUGUCUGAUUAAUCUUGGUUUCUGGGCUGGACGCGUGGAUGCAAUCGCUGAGGUUUGUUUUGAGAUGCGGUGUUCACGAUGAGUUAGUACAUGAUGCUGUUGUAAAGCUUUACAUAGACAGUUGGAAUUCGUGCUUUGUUCGAAAUGUCUCUCCUGCUGAUGGCAGAUCUCUUCAGCUUGUUGCUAGCAACCAGGAAGAGUGCUUUAGCAACCAAAAGGAAAAAGCAACCAGAAAGA